rnacentral:rRNA from 1 species
UACGUAGGUGGCAAGCGUUGUCCGGAUUUACUGGGCGUAAAGAGCGCGCAGGCGGUUUAAUCAGUCGAAUGUGAAAGCCCCCGGCUCAACUGGGGAGGGUCAUUCGAUACUGUUCGACUCGAAGGCAGGAGAGGGAAGCGGAAUUCCCGGUGUAGUGGUGAAAUGCGUAGAUAUCGGGAGGAACACCAGUGGCGAAGGCGGCUUUCUGGCCUGUUCUUGACGCUGAGGCGCGAAAGCCAGGGGAGCAAACGGG